GAGGAAAGAGGGAGGCGUGCCUAAUACAUGCAAGUCGAGCGAACAGACGAGGAGCUUGCUCCUCUGACGUUAGCGGCGGACGGGUGAGUAACACGUGGAUAACCUACCUAUAAGACUGGGAUAACUUCGGGAAACCGGAGCUAAUACCGGAUAAUAUAUUGAACCGCAUGGUUCAAUAGUGAAAGACGGUUUUGCUGUCACUUAUAGAUGGAUCCGCGCCGCAUUAGCUAGUUGGUAAGGUAACGGCUUACCAAGGCAACGAUGCGUAGCCGACCUGAGAGGGUGAUCGGCCACACUGGAACUGAGACACGGUCCAGACUCCUACGGGAGGCAGCAGUAGGGAAUCUUCCGCAAUGGGCGAAAGCUUGACGGGGCAACGCCGCGUGAGUGAUGAAGGUCUUCGGAUCGUAAAACUCUGUUAUUAGGGAAGAACAAAUGUGUAAGUAACUAUGCACGUCUUGACGGUACCUAAUCAGAAAGCCACGGCUAACUACGUG
rnacentral:rRNA from 1 species